rnacentral:rRNA from 1 species
UCUCCUGGAAACGGGUGGUAAUGCCGGAUGUUCCACAUGAGCGCAUGCGAGUGUGGGAAAGGCUUUUUGCGGCAUGGGAUGGGGUCGCGUCCUAUCAGCUUGUUGGUGGGGUAACGGCCUACCAAGGCGUUGACGGGUAGCCGGCCUGAGAGGGCGACCGGCCACAUUGGGACUGAGAUACGGCCCAGACUCCUACGGGAGGCAGCAGUGGGGAAUAUUGCACAAUGGGCGCAAGCCUGAUGCAGCGACGCCGCGUGAGGGAUGGAGGCCUUCGGGUUGUAAACCUCUUUUAUCGGGGAGCAAGCGUGAGUGAGUUUACCCGUUGAAUAAGCACCGGCUAACUACGUGCCAGCAGCCGCGGUAAUACGUAGGGUGCAAGCGUUAUCCGGAAUUAUUGGGCGUAAAGGGCUCGUAGGCGGUUCGUCGCGUCCGGUGUGAAAGUCCAUCGCUUAACGGUGGAUCCGCGCCGGGUACGGGCGGGCUUGAGUGCGGUAGGGGAGACUGGAAUUCCCGGUGUAACGGUGGAAUGUGUAGAUAUCGGGAAGAACACC